CCACUCUUGGCUCAGUUGGCAGAGCACUCCAGUUAUGGAGAUCAGUCGUUCAAAUCGGCUAGCGAGAA